UUUUUAGUAAAAGUAUGUCUCAUGCAAUGUUUGAGACAUAUUUGCACUAAAU
rnacentral:pre_miRNA from 1 species